GCCCGCCUAGCUCAAUCGGAUAGAGCGUCAGACUCUUAGGUCGGGUGAUCUGAAGGCUGCGAGUUCGACCCUCGCGGUGGGCU